rnacentral:rRNA from 1 species
UACGUAGGGUGCAAGCGUUGUCCGGAAUUAUUGGGCGUAAAGAGCUCGUAGGCGGUUUGUCGCGUCUGCUGUGAAAACCCGAGGCUCAGCCUCGGAAGUGCGUCGGAAACUAGUCGGCUGGAGCGCGAUAGAGGAGGGUGGAAUUCCUGGUGUAGCGGUGAAAUGCGUAGAUAUCAGGAGGAACACCGGCGGCGAAGGCGGCCCUCUGGAUCGUUGCUGACGCUGAUACGCGAAAGCGUGGGGAGCAAACAGG